AUUGAACGCUAGCGGGAUGCUUUACACAUGCAAGUCGAGCGCGUGGCGGACGGGUGAGUAAUGUAUCGGAACGUGCCCAGUAGCGGGGGAUAACUACUCGAAACAGUUACUAAUACCGCAUACUUUUGGAGCGGCCGAUAUCGGAUUAGCUAGUUGGGGGGGUAAAGGCUCACAAAGGCAACGAUCCGGAGCUGGUUUGAGAGGAGGAUCAGCCACACUGGGACUGAGACACGGCCCAGACUCCUACGGGAGGCAGCAGGGGGGAAGUUUGGACAAGGGGGGAAACCCUGAUCCAGCCAUCCCGCGUGUAUGAGAAGGCCUUCGGGUUGUAAAGUACUUUUGGCAGAGAAGCGGUAUCUGCAGAAUAAGCACCGGCUAACUACGUGCCAGCAGCCGCGGUAAUAC
rnacentral:rRNA from 1 species